rnacentral:rRNA from 1 species
AUGGAAAAAUCUGGAGUGGAAACAAGGUCUUCAGAGCAGACAAUGCUAUCUGACGAAGCGCAUGUCUUGCUUGUUACGGAUAGCUCCUCAGAGAACGAUUCAAAGACAGAUGACCAGUCCUAUCUCCCCCCCCCCGAGAUAGCUCUUCAGAGGAGGAUUCGGAGGCAGAUGAGCAGUCUUUUUAUCCCCCUGAGGUGUAUGCUCAAACUUGGCAGAGUUAUAUUACUCAUAUCAUGCAUAUGUUGUCUUGCAAUGCUUAGUUUUUACAUCAUAUACACAAUAUUGAAUGCCAUCUCCUUAGUUGACACAUCAUAUAUGCGAUUGCCCUCAGCUCACUUGCUUAGUAUAUAA